AUGGUUAAGUUAGAAAGGGCGCACGGUGAAUGCCUUGGCACUAGGAGCCGAUGAAGGACGGGACUAACACCGAUAUGCUUCGGGGAGCUGUAAGUGAGCUUUGAUCCGGAUAUUUCCGAAUGUGUACACCCACUGUUCGUAAUGGAACAGUAUCUUUAUCUGAAUACAUAGGCUUUUGAAGGCAUACCCUGGGAACUGAAACAUCUAAGUACCCGGAGGAAGAGAAAGCAAAUGCGAUUUCCUGAGUAGCGGCUAGCGAAACGGAAUUAGCCCAAACCAAGAGGCUUGCCUUUUGGGGUUGUAGGACACUCUAUACGGAGUUACAAAGGAACGACGUAAAUGAAGCUACCUGGAAAGGUCCGUCGAAGAAGGUAACAACCCUGUAGUUGAAACUUCGUUCCCUCUUGAGUGGAUCCUGAGUACGGCGGAACACGUGAAAUUCCGUCGGAAGCUGGGAGGACCAUCUCCCAAGGCUAAAUACUACCUAGUGACCGAUAGUGAACCAGUACCGUGAGGGAAAGGUGAAAAGCACCCCGGAAGGGGGAGUGAAAGAGAUCCUGAAACCGUGUGCCUACAAGUAGUCAGAGCCCGUUAAUGGGUGAUGGCGUGCCUUUGUAGAAUGAACCGGCGAGUUACGAUCCCAUGCAAGGUUAAGCUGAUAAGGCGGAGCCGUAGCGAAAGCGAGUCUGAAUAGGGCGUUUAGUAUGUGGUUGUAGACCCGAAACCAGGUGAUCUACCCAUGUCCAGGGUGAAGUUCAGGUAACACUGAAUGGAGGCCCGAACCCACGCACGUUGAAAAGUGCGGGGAUGAGGUGUGGGUAGCGGAGAAAUUCCAAUCGAACCUGGAGAUAGCUGGUUCUCUCCGAAAUAGCUUUAGGGCUAGCCUCAUGUUGUGAGAGUCUUGGAGGUAGAGCACUGAUUGGACUAGGGGCCCCCAACGGGUUACCGAAUUCAGUCAAACUCCGAAUGCCAAAGACUUAUCCAUGGGAGUCAGACUGCGAGUGAUAAGAUCCGUAGUCAAAAGGGAAACAGCCCAGACCACCAGCUAAGGUCCCCAAGUAUACGUUAAGUGGAAAAGGAUGUGGAGUUGCUUAGACAACCAGGAUGUUGGCUUAGAAGCGUACCACCAUUUAAAGAGUGCGUAAUAGCUCACUGGUCGAGUGACUCUGCGCCGAAAAUGUACCGGGGCUAAACGUAUCACCGAAGCUGUGGAUUGACAUCUUUGAUGUCAGUGGUAGGAGAGCGUUCUAAGUGCUGUGAAGUCAGACCGUAAGGACUGGUGGAGCGCUUAGAAGUGAGAAUGCCGGUAUGAGUAGCGAAAGACAAGUGAGAAUCUUGUCCACCGAAUGCCUAAGGUUUCCUGAGGAAGGCUCGUCCGCUCAGGGUUAGUCGGGACCUAAGCCGAGGCUGAAAAGCGUAGGCGAUGGCCAACAGGUUGAUAUUCCUGUACCACCUCCCCGCCGUUUGAGUAAUGGGGGGACGCAGUAGGAUAGGGUAAGCGCGCUGCUGGAUAUGCGCGUUCAAGCAGUUAGGCUGAUGAGUAGGCAAAUCCGCUCAUCAUAAAGGCUGAGCUGUGAUGACGAGGGAAUUAUAGUACCGAAGUUCCUGAUUCCACACUGCCAAGAAAAGCCUCUAGCGAGGCGGGAGGUGCCCGUACCGCAAACCGACACAGGUAGGCGAGGAGAGAAUCCUAAGGUGAUCGAGAGAACUCUCGUUAAGGAACUCGGCAAAAUGACCCCGUAACUUCGGGAGAAGGGGUGCUCUGGUAGGGUGUAUAGCCCGAGAGAGCCGCAGUGAAUAGGCCCAGGCGACUGUUUAGCAAAAACACAGGUCUCUGCGAAGCCGCAAGGCGAAGUAUAGGGGCUGACGCCUGCCCGGUGCUGGAAGGUUAAGAGGAGGGGUUAUCCUUUGGGAGAAGCUCUGAAUCGAAGCCCCAGUAAACGGCGGCCGUAACUAUAACGGUCCUAAGGUAGCGAAAUUCCUUGUCGGGUAAGUUCCGACCCGCACGAAAGGCGUAACGAUCUGGGCACUGUCUCAACGAGAGACUCGGUGAAAUUAUAGUACCUGUGAAGAUGCAGGUUACCCGCGACAGGACGGAAAGACCCCGUGGAGCUUUACUGUAGCCUGAUAUUGAAUUUUGGUACAGCUUGUACAGGAUAGGUAGGAGCCUGAGAAGCCGGAGCGCUAGCUUCGGUGGAGGCGUCGGUGGGAUACUACCCUGGCUGUAUUGAAAUUCUAACCCGCGGCCCUGAUCGGGCCGGGAGACAGUGUCAGGUGGGCAGUUUGACUGGGGCGGUCGCCUCCUAAAAUGUAACGGAGGCGCCCAAAGGUUCCCUCAGAAUGGUUGGAAAUCAUUCGUAGAGUGUAAAGGCACAAGGGAGCUUGACUGCGAGACCUACAAGUCGAGCAGGGACGAAAGUCGGGCUUAGUGAUCCGGUGGUUCCGCAUGGAAGGGCCAUCGCUCAACGGAUAAAAGCUACCCCGGGGAUAACAGGCUUAUCUCCCCCAAGAGUCCACAUCGACGGGGAGGUUUGGCACCUCGAUGUCGGCUCAUCGCAUCCUGGGGCUGUAGUCGGUCCCAAGGGUUGGGCUGUUCGCCCAUUAAAGCGGUACGCGAGCUGGGUUCAGAACGUCGUGAGACAGUUCGGUCCCUAUCCGUCGUGGGCGUAGGAAAUUUGAGAGGAGCUGUCCUUAGUACGAGAGGACCGGGAUGGACACACCGCUGGUGUACCAGUUGUCUUGCCAAAGGCAUCGCUGGGUAGCUAUGUGUGGACGGGAUAAGUGCUGAAAGCAUCUAAGCAUGAAGCCCCCCUCAAGAUGAGAUUUCCCAUAGCGCAAGCUAGUAAGAUCCCUGAAAGAUGAUCAGGUUGAUAGGUCAGAGGUGGAAGCGUGGCAACAUGUGUAGCUGACUGAUACUAAUCGAUCGAGGACUUAACCAAAC
rnacentral:rRNA from 1 species